AAAUUGAAGAGUUUGAUCAUGGCUCAGAUUGAACGCUGGCGGCAGGCCUAACACAUGCAAGUCGAGCGGAAACGAGUUAUCUGAACCUUCGGGGGACGAUAACGGCGUCGAGCGGCGGACGGGUGAGUAAUGCCUAGGAAAUUGCCCUGAUGUGGGGGAUAACCAUUGGAAACGAUGGCUAAUACCGCAUAAUGCCUACGGGCCAAAGAGGGGGACCUUCGGGCCUCUCGCGUCAGGAUAUGCC
rnacentral:rRNA from 1 species